CAACAGGUGGGCGUCCGGCGGAAACUGUGUGGCUUGGAACCGGAAGGCUCAGAGGGUACGUCCGGGGUAGGAGUGAAAUCCCGUAAUCCUGGACGGACCACCGGUGGCGAAAGCGCCUCAGGAAGACGGACCCGACGGUGAGGGACGAAAGCUAGGGUCUCGAACCGGAUUAGAUACCCGGGUAGUCCUAGCCGUAAACGAUGCUCGCUAGGUGUGGCGUAGGCUACGAGCCUGCGCUGUGCCGUAGGGAAGCCGUGAAGCGAGCCGCCUGGGAAGUACGUCUGCAAGGAUGAAACUUAAAGGAAUUGGCGGGGGAGCACUACAACCGGAGGAGCCUGCGGUUUAAUUGGACUCAACGCCGGACAUCUCACCGGCACCGACAGCAGUAAUGACGGUCAGGUUGACGACCUUACUCGACGCUGCUGAGAGGAGGUGCAUGGCCGCCGUCAGCUCGUACCGUGAGGCGUCCUGUUAAGUCAGGCAACGAGCGAGACCCACACUCCUAGUUGCCAGCAAUACCCUUGAGGUAGUUGGGUACACUAGGAGGACUGCCGCUGCCAAAGCGGAGGAAGGAAUGGGCAACGGUAGGUCAGUAUGCCCCGAAUGUGCCGGGCAACACGCGGGCUACAAUGGUCGAGACAGUGGGAAGCGGCACCGAGAGGUGGAGCUAAUCCCCUAAACUCGGUCGUAGUUCGGAUUGCGGGCUGAAACUCGCCCGCAUGAAGCUGGAUUCGGUAGUAGUCGCGUGUCAGAAGCGCGCGGCGAAUACGUCCCUGCUCCUUGCACACAA
rnacentral:rRNA from 1 species